UGUAUUACAGCAAACACAAAGAGAUCUUCUUAGCGUGCUUCGACCAAGGGGAGAAGUUAAUAUCUAUAUGGCAUUUCAAGACUAUGAAGUCAAUAUUCCCACUCCUCAAGGCUAUAAAAACUGACCCAAAAUUCCAUUGCACAACCACGAGUUCUCAUACUAUCAAGUUCUCAUACUAUCAAUUUAAGUACCAUGGCAUUAGUCAUGAUAAUGUUUAUGCUAUGCCUCCUGGGAUUAUCUCCGUUCUCUACACUAGCAUCUCCCUCUAGUAUUAUAACUGUGUCUGUGUUUAGGAAGUUC
rnacentral:lncRNA from 1 species